rnacentral:rRNA from 1 species
GGGUUGUGAGGUUAAGCGACUAAGCGUACACGGUGGAUGCCCUGGCAGUCAGAGGCGAUGAAGGACGUGCUAAUCUGCGAAAAGCGUCGGUAAGGUGAUAUGAACCGUUACAGCCGGCGAUGUCCGAAUGGGGAAACCCAGUGUGAUUCGUCACACUAUCGUUAACUGAAUACAUAGGUUAACGAGGCGAACCGGGGGAACUGAAACAUCUAAGUACCCCGAGGAAAAGAAAUCAACCGAGAUUCCCCCAGUAGCGGCGAGCGAACGGGGAGCAGCCCAGAGUCUGAAUCAGCUUGUGUGUUAGUGGAACGGUCUGGAAAGUCCGACGGUACAGGGUGAUAGUCCCGUACACCAAAAUGCACAGGCUGUGAACUCGAAGAGUAGGGCGGGACACGUGGUAUCCUGUCUGAAUAUGGGGGGACCAUCCUCCAAGGCUAAAUACUCCUGACUGACCGAUAGUGAACCAGUACCGUGAGGGAAAGGCGAAAAGAACCCCGGCGAGGGGAGUGAAAAAGAACCUGAAACCGUGUACGUACAAGCAGUGGGAGCACCUUCGGGUGUGACUGCGUACCUUUUGUAUAAUGGGUCAGCGACUUAUAUUCUGUAGCAAGGUUAACCGUAUAGGGGAGCCGCAGGGAAACCGAGUCUUAACUGGGCGUUAAGUUGCAGGGUAUAGACCCGAAACCCGGUGAUCUAGCCAUGGGCAGGUUGAAGGUUGGGUAACACUAACUGGAGGACCGAACCGACUAAUGUUGAAAAAUUAGCGGAUGACUUGUGGCUGGGGGUGAAAGGCCAAUCAAACCGGGAGAUAGCUGGUUCUCCCCGAAAGCUAUUUAGGUAGCGCCUCGUGAACUCAUCUUCGGGGGUAGAGCACUGUUUCGGCUAGGGGGUCAUCCCGACUUACCAACCCGAUGCAAACUACGAAUACCGAAGAAUGUUAUCACGGGAGACACACGGCGGGUGCUAACGUCCGUCGUGAAGAGGGAAACAACCCAGACCGCCAGCUAAGGUCCCAAAGUCACAGUUAAGUGGGAAACGAUGUGGGAAGGCACAGACAGCCAGGAUGUUGGCUUAGAAGCAGCCAUCAUUUAAAGAAAGCGUAAUAGCUCACUGGUCGAGUCGGCCUGCGCGGAAGAUGUAACGGGGCUAAACUGUGCACCGAAGCUGCGGCAGCGACACUAUGUGUUGUUGGGUAGGGGAGCGUUCUGUAAGCCUGCGAAGGUGGCCUGUGAGGGUUGCUGGAGGUAUCAGAAGUGCGAAUGCUGACAUAAGUAACGAUAAUGCGGGUGAAAAGCCCGCACGCCGGAAGACCAAGGGUUCCUGUCCAACGUUAAUCGGGGCAGGGUGAGUCGACCCCUAAGGCGAGGCCGAAAGGCGUAGUCGAUGGGAAACAGGUUAAUAUUCCUGUACUUGGUGUUACUGCGAAGGGGGGACGGAGAAGGCUAUGUUAGCCGGGCGACGGUUGUCCCGGUUUAAGCAUGUAGGCGGAGGUUCCAGGUAAAUCCGGUACCUUUUUAACGCUGAGGUGUGAUGACGAGGCACUACGGUGCUGAAGUAACAAAUGCCCUGCUUCCAGGAAAAGCCUCUAAGCAUCAGGUAACAUUGAAUCGUACCCCAAACCGACACAGGUGGUCAGGUAGAGAAUACCAAGGCGCUUGAGAGAACUCGGGUGAAGGAACUAGGCAAAAUGGUGCCGUAACUUCGGGAGAAGGCACGCUGAUAUGUAGGUGAAGCCCCUGCGGGUGGAGCUGAAAUCAGUCGAAGAUACCAGCUGGCUGCAACUGUUUAUUAAAAACACAGCACUGUGCAAACACGAAAGUGGACGUAUACGGUGUGACGCCUGCCCGGUGCCGGAAGGUUAAUUGAUGGGGUUAUCCGUAAGGAGAAGCUCUUGAUCGAAGCCCCGGUAAACGGCGGCCGUAACUAUAACGGUCCUAAGGUAGCGAAAUUCCUUGUCGGGUAAGUUCCGACCUGCACGAAUGGCGUAAUGAUGGCCAGGCUGUCUCCACCCGAGACUCAGUGAAAUUGAACUCGCUGUGAAGAUGCAGUGUACCCGCGGCAAGACGGAAAGACCCCGUGAACCUUUACUAUAGCUUGACACUGAACAUUGAGCCUUGAUGUGUAGGAUAGGUGGGAGGCUUUGAAGCGUGGACGCCAGUCUGCGUGGAGCCAACCUUGAAAUACCACCCUUUAAUGUUUGAUGUUCUAACGUUGGCCCCUGACCGGGGUUGCGGACAGUGUCUGGUGGGUAGUUUGACUGGGGCGGUCUCCUCCCAAAGAGUAACGGAGGAGCACGAAGGUUAGCUAAUCCUGGUCGGACAUCAGGAGGUUAGUGCAAUGGCAUAAGCUAGCUUGACUGCGAGCGUGACGGCGCGAGCAGGUGCGAAAGCAGGUCAUAGUGAUCCGGUGGUUCUGAAUGGAAGGGCCAUCGCUCAACGGAUAAAAGGUACUCCGGGGAUAACAGGCUGAUACCGCCCAAGAGUUCAUAUCGACGGCGGUGUUUGGCACCUCGAUGUCGGCUCAUCACAUCCUGGGGCUGAAGUAGGUCCCAAGGGUAUGGCUGUUCGCCAUUUAAAGUGGUACGCGAGCUGGGUUUAGAACGUCGUGAGACAGUUCGGUCCCUAUCUGCCGUGGGCGCUGGAGAAUUGAGGGGGGCUGCUCCUAGUACGAGAGGACCGGAGUGGACGCAUCACUGGUGUUCGGGUUGUCAUGCCAAUGGCAUUGCCCGGUAGCUAAAUGCGGAAGAGAUAAGUGCUGAAAGCAUCUAAGCACGAAACUUGCCCCGAGAUGAGUUCUCCCUGAGACUUUAAGUCUCCUGAAGGAACGUUAAAGACGAUGACGUUGAUAGGUCGGGUGUGUAAGCGUAGCGAUACGUUGAGCUAACCGAUACUAAUGAACCGUGAGGCUUAACCUUACAACGCCGAAG